AGAACGAACGCUGGCGGCAUGCCUAAUACAUGCAAGUCGAACGAACACUUCGGUGUUAGUGGCGCACGGGUGCGUAACGCGUGGGAAUCUGCCCUUGGGUUCGGAAUAACAGUUGGAAACGACUGCUAAUACCGGAUGAUGACGAAAGUCCAAAGAUUUAUCGCCCAGGGAUGAGCCCGCGUAGGAUUAGCUAGUUGGUGAGGUAAAGGCUCACCAAGGCGACGAUCCUUAGCUGGUCUGAGAGGAUGAUCAGCCACACUGGGACUGAGACACGGCCCAGACUCCGUACGGGAGGCAGCAGUAGGGAAUAGUUAGGACAAGUGGGCGCGAAGCCUGACUCCAGCAAUGCCGCGUGAGUGAUGAGGCUAGGGUGUAAAGUCUACUUUACCGAGACGAAUAUAGACAGUAGU
rnacentral:rRNA from 1 species